rnacentral:rRNA from 1 species
CAGUAGCCGCGGGAAUACAGAGGGUGCGAGCGUUAAUCGGAUUUACUGGGCGUAAAGCGUGCGUAGGCGGCUUUUUAAGUCGGAUGUGAAAUCCCUGAGCUUAACUUAGGAAUUGCAUUCGAUACUGGGAAGCUAGAGUAUGGGAGAGGAUGGUAGAAUUCCAGGUGUAGCGGUGAAAUGCGUAGAGAUCUGGAGGAAUACCGAUGGCGAAGGCAGCCAUCUGGCCUAAUACUGACGCUGAGGUACGAAAGCAUGGGGAGCAAACAGGAUUAGAUACCCGUGUAGUCCCUGUCUCUUUAUA